UACAGAGGUCUCAAGCGUUGUCCGGAAUCAUUGGGCGUAAAGGGCGCGUAGGCGGCGGUCACAGUCAGAUGUGAAAUUCCUGGGCUUAACCUGGGGGCUGCAUUUGAUACGUGGUUGCUUGAGUGGGGAAGAGGGUCGUGGAAUUCCCAGUGUAGAGGUGAAAUUCGUAGAUAUUGGGAAGAACACCGGUGGCGAAGGCGGCGACCUGGUCCUUGACUGACGCUGAGGCGCGAAAGCGUGGGGAGCAAACAGG
rnacentral:rRNA from 1 species